rnacentral:rRNA from 1 species
CCUACGGGAGGCAGCAGUGAGGAAUAUUGGUCAAUGGGCGGAAGCCUGAACCAGCCAAGUAGCGUGCAGGAUGACGGCCCUACGGGUUGUAAACCGCUUUUAUACGGGAGUAAUGCGCCUUACGUGUAGGGCUUUGCAUGUAACGUGUGAAUUAGGACCGGCUAAUUCCGUGCCAGCCGCCGCGGUUAUACGGAAGGUUCGGGCGUUGUCCGGGUUUAUUGGGGUUAAAGGGAUCGUAGGGCGCAUGUCAAGCGUGCUGGUAAAUGUCCGGGCUCAACCCGGGCCUUGCAGCGCGAACUGGCGAGCUUGAGUCCGCGGAAAGCAGGCGGAAUUCGUCGUGUAGCGGUGAAAUGCUUAGAUAUGACGAAGAACCCCGAUUGCGAAGGCAGCUUGCUGCAGCGGAACUGACGCUGAUGCUCGAAAGCGCGGGUAUCGAACAGGAUUAGAUACCCUGGUAGUC